rnacentral:rRNA from 1 species
ACCCUUUAAUGUUUGAUGUUCUAACGUGGACCCGUGAUCCGGGUUGCGGACAGUGUCUGGUGGGUAGUUUGACUGGGGCGGUCUCCUCCUAAAGAGUAACGGAGGAGCACGAAGGUUGGCUAAUCCUGGUCGGACAUCAGGAGGUUAGUGCAAUGGCAUAAGCCAGCUUGACUGCGAGCGUGACGGCGCGAGCAGGUGCGAAAGCAGGUCAUAGUGAUCCGGUGGUUCUGAAUGGAAGGGCCAUCGCUCAACGGAUAAAAGGUACUCCGGGGAUAACAGGCUGAUACCGCCCAAGAGUUCAUAUCGACGGCGGUGUUUGGCACCUCGAUGUCGGCUCAUCACAUCCUGGGGCUGAAGUAGGUCCCAAGGGUAUGGCUGUUCGCCAUUUAAAGUGGUACGCGAGCUGGGUUUAGAACGUCGUGAGACAGUUCGGUCCCUAUCUGCCGUGGGCGCUGGAGAACUGAGGGGGGCUGCUCCUAGUACGAGAGGACCGGAGUGGACGCAUCACUGGUGUUCGGGUUGUCAUGCCAAUGGCACUGCCCGGUAGCUAAAUGCGGAAGAGAUAAGUGCUGAAAGCAUCUAAGCACGAAACUUGCCCCGAGAUGAGUUCUCCCUGAGACUUAAAGUCUCCUGAAG